UACGAGUGCCCCAAGCGUUAUCCGGAAUUAUUGGGCGUAAAGGGUUCGUAGGCGGUUCUAUUAGUCUCUUGUUAAAGCUCCCGGCUCAACUGGGAAAGGGCGAGAGAAACGGUAGAUCUAGAAGAUGUAAGGGGUGUGCGGAACUCAUGGUGUAGGGGUGAAAUCCGUUGAUAUCAUGGGGAACACCAAAAGCGAAGGCAGCACACUGGUACAUUCUUGACGCUGAGGAACGAAAGCGUGGGUAGCGAAUGGG
rnacentral:misc_RNA from 1 species